AUGCAAAAGAAAAAAGAUGUCGAUAAUGAUGUCGUUAAAUUGAAGCUAUUUCCUUUUUCGCUUAGAGAUCAUGCUAAAGCUUGGUUUUCGUCUUUGCCUAAAAAUAGUAUUCAUUCUUGGAACAAAUGCAAAGAUGCUUUUAUCUCUAAGUAUUUCCCUCCCGCUAAGAUCAUCUCUCUUAGAAACGAUAUUAUGAACUUUAAGCAACUUGAUCAUGAACAUGUUGCACAAGCUUGGGAGAGAAUGAAAUUAAUGAUAUGUAAUUUCCCUACUCAUGGUUUGAACUUGUGGAUGAUUAUACAAAAAAAUUUAUGCCGGAUUGAAUUUUGCUUCUAG
rnacentral:rRNA from 1 species